CCUACGGGAGGCAGCAGUGGGGAAUAUUGCACAAUGGGGGAAACCCUGAUGCAGCGACGCCGCGUUAGUGAAGAAGUAUUUCGGUAUGUAAAGCUCUAUCAGCAGGGAAGAAAAAAGACGGUACCUGACUAAGAAGCCCCGGCUAACUACGUGCCAGCAUCCGCGGUAAUACGUAUGGGGCGAGCGUUAUCCGGAUUUACUGGGUGUAAAUGGCGCGUAGGCGGCAAUACAAGUCGGAAGUGAAAUACCCGGGCUCAACCUGGGAACUGCUUUGGAAACUGUAUGGCUAGAGUGCUGGAGAGGUAAGCGGAAUUCCUGGUGUAGCGGUGAAAUGCGUAGAUAUUAGGAGGAACACCAGUGGCGAAGGCGGCUUACUGGACAGUAACUGACGCUGAGGCUCGAAAGCGUGGGGAGCAAACAGGAUUAGAUACCCGAGUAGUC
rnacentral:rRNA from 1 species